GUCGGUAGCUAGCUCUCUACAACUCUCACAUGGUCGCCCACUGAAGCUUAGCAGGGCUGCGCCCGGUCAGUACCUGGAUGGGAGACCACAUGGGAAAGCUAGGUUGCUGCCAGAA
rnacentral:rRNA from 1 species